AUCUCUUCUCAGCCUUAUGGCUAAGAUCAAGCGGAGGUAUCUGUUCUUAUUGGUUUAACAUCUGAUACGUCUCUAUCCAAGGGGAACAUGUUAAGUGGAUUUUUGGAGCAGGGGGGUGGAAAGGCGCUCGCUCUGUCCACCCCACACAUGGACCCGGUGUUGCACUAUCUUGGGGACAAAAAUAAAAGUA